UACGUAGGGGGCAAGCGUUGUCCGGAAUCAUUGGGCGUAAAGAGCGUGUAGGCGGCUCGAUAAGUCCGCUGUGAAAGUCCAGGGCUCAACCCUGGAAGGCCGGUGGAAACUGUCGGGCUAGAGUCCGGAAGAGGCGAGUGGAAUUCCCGGUGUAGCGGUGAAAUGCGCAGAUAUCGGAAAGAACACCAACGGCGAAAGCACUCUGCUGGGCCGACACUGACACUGAGAGACGAAAGCUAGGGGAGCGAAUGGG
rnacentral:rRNA from 1 species